rnacentral:rRNA from 1 species
GACGAACGCUGGCGGCGUGCUUAACACAUGCAAGUCGAACGGAAAGGCCCGGCUUUUGUGGGGUGCUCGAGUGGCGAACGGGUGAGUAACACGUGAGUAACCUGCCCUUGACUUUGGGAUAACUUCAGGAAACUGGGGCUAAUACCGGAUAGGAGCUCUUGCUGCAUGGUGGGGGUUGGAAAGUUUCGGCGGUUGGGGAUGGACUCGCGGCUUAUCAGCUUGUUGGUGGGGUAGUGGCUUACCAAGGCUUUGACGGGUAGCCGGCCUGAGAGGGUGACCGGCCACAUUGGGACUGAGAUACGGCCCAGACUCCUACGGGAGGCAGCAGUGGGGAAUAUUGCACAAUGGGCGGAAGCCUGAUGCAGCAACGCCGCGUGCGGGAUGACGGCCUUCGGGUUGUAAACCGCUUUCGCCUGUGACGAAGCGUGAGUGACGGUAAUGGGUAAAGAAGCACCGGCUAACUACGUG